rnacentral:rRNA from 1 species
AUUGAACGCUGGCGGCAGGCUUAACACAUGCAAGUCGAGCGGGGUGAUGGUGCUUGCACUAUCACUUAGCGGCGGACGGGUGAGUAAUGCUUAGGAAUCUGCCUAUUAGUGGGGGACAACAUCUCGAAAGGGAUGCUAAUACCGCAUACGUCCUACGGGAGAAAGCAGGGGAUCACUUGUGACCUUGCGCUAAUAGAUGAGCCUAAGUCGGAUUAGCUAGUUGGUGUGGUAAAGGCCUACCAAGGCGACGAUCUGUAGCGGGUCUGAGAGGAUGAACCGCAAAACUGGGACUGAGAAACGGCCCAGACUCAUACGGGAGGAAGCAGUGGGGAAUAUUGGACAAUGUGGGGAACCCUGAUCCAGCCAUGCCGCGUGUGUGAAGAAGGCCUUAUGGUUGUAAAGCACUUUAAGCGAGGAGGAGGCUACUUUAGUUAAUACCUAGAGAUAGUGGACGUUACUCGCAGAAUAAGCACCGGCUAACUCUGUGCCAGCCGCCGCCGUAA